UGCUAUCAGUAUUGGCCUUCAACAUCAAGUGGAUUAAUAGUAGGGGAGUACAAUAUUGCACUAUUAAAUGAAGAAAUAAUAAGCAAUGGUUGUAUUGAACGAAAAUUUGAACUUAAACACACUAAUAAAACUAGUGAUAAACAACAAGUGAAACAGUAUCAGAUAACAAAUUGGGAUUCAACUGGAAAGAUGACUAACCCUCAGACUAUACUGUUGGUAAUAGAAGAAAUGUACAGAACACAAAGGAAAAGAGGAAACACAAGCAUUGUAGUACACUGCAGUGAUACAGUUGGUCGUUCAGCAAUGUUUUGUGCAGCUGCUACAA